GGCAGCAGCACAAAGAAGAAGCUAGAAGACUGGGGAAAAGCAAAUUCAAUGGCAUCAUUGAAUGCCUCUGAAGAUCAUCUUCCUCAGCAAGAACAAUUACCACAAACGUCUUAUACGGGUGAAGGCAACAGUAGUUUGUAUACAACUUCUGGAGUGAGUUCUGAAGUGGGUUGGUAUGUGCUUGCCCAAGAUCAACAGCAACUAGGCCCGUAUACAAUAUCUGAAUUGCGUGAGCACUACUCUGCUGGAUACCUCCUGGAGAGUACACUAGCAUGGUCGGAAGGAAGGAGUGAAUGGCAACCACUUUGCUCGAUUCCUGGAUUGCUGACUGAUGUAGCUGAGCAGAGCACUGGUGAUACAAAUUCAGUUUCUUUGACUUCUAGUGAUCCAUUUGAUGAGUAUGAAAAGUUUCAAAAGGAAGUGAAAGAGGCAGAGGACGAGCAAGCAGUUGAUGAGGAUCAAAGGCCUUCAACUCCUCCAGAUGGUGAAGAUGAGUUCAUUGAUGAUGACGGAACUAGGUACAAAUGGGAUAAGGCUCUUAGAGUGUGGGUACCUCAGGAAGAUCCAACCGAUAAAACGGACUAUCGUCUAGAAGAUAUGACUUACGCUGAAGAGGAGGAACUUUUCCCUACAUUGCCCGCUGACAUUUCUUCUGGAAAUGAGAACAAGAACAUGGAUAAUACUGAGGCUAAUAAGAAUGCUAUAAAUUCAAUUGAAACUGCCACAGCAACACAUAAUGGCAAGAGGAAACUGACUGAAAAAGAUGAGCCUGAAAAAGCUGCUGAAAAGAAGGAAGCUAAUAAACCUCCAGAUAGCUGGUUCGAAUUAAAAGUCAAUACUCAUGUCUAUAUUACAGGCUUGCCAGAAGACGUCACUGUUGACGAGGUGGUUGAAGUCUUUUCAAAGUGUGGGAUCAUAAAGGAGGAUCCGGAAACACAAAGGCCUCGAGUGAAGAUUUAUUUUGACAAAGAAACUGGAAGGAAGAAAGGUGAUGCACUUGUAACAUAUCUUAAGGAGCCUUCAGUUGAUCUAGCCAUUAAAAUUUUGGAUGGUGCACCUUUACGGCCAGGUGACAAAAUUCCUAUGACAGUUACUCCAGCAAAGUUUGAGCAAAAAGGGGAGAGGUUCAUACCCAAGAAAUCAGACAAGCACAGAAAGAAGAAACUCCAAAAAGUUGAGCAGAAGAUGCUUGGCUGGGGUGGUCGGGAUGACUCAAAGAUAUUGGUUCCAGCUACUGUUUUGCUUCGCUACAUGUUCACACCAGCUGAAUUGCGGGAGGAAGAGAAUUUAUGUUCUGAGCUACAGCAAGACGUCCAAGAGGAAUGUUCAAAGUUUGGUCCAGUGGACUUGGUAAAGGUGUGUGAGAAUCAUCCACAAGGGGUUGUUUUGGUCAAAUUUAAGGAUAGAAAGGAUGCACAUAGGUGCAUUGAGUCGAUGAAUGGACGCUGGUUUGCUGGUAGGCAAAUUCAUGCUAGCGAGGACGAUGGAUCUGUUAACCAUGCUUUAGUCCGAGAUAUAGAUGAAGAAACUGAUAGGUUGGAGAAGUUUGGAGCUGAACUUGAAGCUGAUUCAUAGGUGUGCUUUCUGCAUGUGCAAAUAGUAGCAACACUUAUUUUUGCUUGCUAUACAACCCAUAUGUCUGUGCAACUCUUUGAACACGAAUCCGUUUUCUGAAAGAUUCUGACUGCCAUAUUUUCGUGAGAACUCCAAUGUCUUGCAAAAAGUGUUGAUAGGCGCUGACCUCGUGGCAUGCCAACUAGAUUUGUAAUCGCGAGUAAUGAGUCAUCUCGUUGUUUUCUUUGGAGUACAUGUAACAUGAUCAAUUGGAAUGAGAAAGUAGUCUUUUCUUGGUGAAGUGGAGUAGAACUUUCUCUAGCACUUGAACUUUCGUAACAU
rnacentral:misc_RNA from 1 species